rnacentral:rRNA from 1 species
UACGUAGGGUGCGAGCGUUAAUCGGAAUUACUGGGCGUAAAGUGUGCGCAGGCGGCCGCGCAAGUCGAGUGUGAAAUCCCCGAGCUUAACUUGGGAAUUGCGCUCGAAACUACGUGGCUGGAGUGUGGCAGAGGAAGGUGGAAUUCCACGUGUAGCGGUGAAAUGCGUAGAGAUGUGGAGGAACACCGAUGGCGAAGGCAGCCUUCUGGGCCAACACUGACGCUCAUGCACGAAAGCGUGGGGAGCAAAAGGG